rnacentral:rRNA from 1 species
GAUGAACGCUGGCGGCGUGCCUAAUACAUGCAAGUCGAGCGAACGGACGAGAAGCUUGCUUCUCUGAUGUUAGCGGCGGACGGGUGAGUAACACGUGGAUAACCUACCUAUAAGACUGGGAUAACUUCGGGAAACCGGAGCUAAUACCGGAUAAUAUUUUGAACCGCAUGGUUCAAAAGUGAAAGACGGUCUUGCUGUCACUUAUAGAUGGAUCCGCGCUGCAUUAGCUAGUUGGUAAGGUAACGGCUUACCAAGGCAACGAUGCAUAGCCGACCUGAGAGGGUGAUCGGCCACACUGGAACUGAGACACGGUCCAGACUCCUACGGGAGGCAGCAGUAGGGAAUCUUCCGCAAUGGGCGAAAGCCUGACGGAGCAACGCCGCGUGAGUGAUGAAGGUCUUCGGAUCGUAAAACUCUGUUAUUAGUGAAGAACAUAUGUGUAAGUAACUGUGCACAGCUUGACGGUACCUAAUCAGAAAGCCACGGCUAACUACGUG